UUUAAAUUGAAUUUUAAUCCUAAAUUUAUUUAAUUUAUUACUUGACUGCAGACAUGUAUGCAUAGUAUUAGCAUUGAUUAUAGAUAAGUCUAUAAUCAAUGGUACAUAUUAGUACAAAUAUGCACAUAUAUUUGUGAGGUGUUAACUACAUUUCUUUAUUAUAUGUCUAUGUUCAAAAAUAGUAUGUCAUAUUGCCAAUCUCCCUAAUAAUAAUAUUAUUAGCACAACUAGGGUAAAAUUAUUUGGAGUGCUAUGCAACCUAAUUUAUACAAUCAAUAAUCGUAUAUACUAGACACUAGAUUUAUUUUUAUAGAUAUACAAAUUUCAACCCAGAAAUGGUGAAUAACUGGUUAUCCACUUUUAAAACCAGGUAUUUUCUGGGAAAACAUCAAAAUGGUUGGUGAAAGGGUGAAUGUAGAAAGGUCAGUUACCCUGGCACCACAAUAGAAAACUGUUGACUUCAAAAAACUGACUGGUAUUAUGUAAUAUAUUAUUUAUCAAUUUGUAACCGCAAAAAAAAAUGUUGUUACUGCUCUAGAACGCCAGAAAAUCAAUUUUUUUUCUAGUGGUGUCAGGGUAUUAAUAUUAAAUACAAAUUUUAUAAAAGAUAUCACAAGAUACAAAUACAUACAUUGAUAAAUUUUGUUUAGACCACCAAACAUAUAGUUUAUUCAACUAAACAAAAGACUAGAGAAUUGAGAUGUUAAUAAACAUCUACGUCUAUUUCCAUCCCAAAUUGGUAACAUAUUAGACAAGUUCGCAGAUAAUACCUAUAAAAGUUAAGCAUUAUUUAUAAAUACAAUUGUUCUACAAUUUACCAUUGUUGUAUAAUGGUACAAGCCAUAAGGCAAAUUACUUUCAAAUCUUUGUAUAGAACA